CAUCCCAUGUGGCAGCAUUGUCUCCAGUCCAAUGGGCAGCAUACUUUCCAGAGCCCACAAAAGUUGAUCUGGUCAGUAUAAAUGGUCUUUUGCCCGUCAAUUUGGUUAAGGCCGCGUUGGUGGCUUUGGAUUCUAAGUGUCCAUAAAGGUUGUGAGCGUUGUACUCUGUAAUGUUACCAAAGUGUAGAGAUGUGGCUGGAACAGUAUUAUUAUUAAUGGGCCUACGAACACCUACAUUGUUAAUCUUGUAGGGAGGGUCGUCAAGGGUGGAUGAUGGGGUGGGAGGUGAUGUUAUGAAAUUAGAUAGCUCAUUCAUGUCAAGCCAAAGGCCGUCAAUGGCAAGACUAUCUCGAAAUAUUUUGAUCUCACCACCCCAAAAGAUCUCAGUGGCUGGAUUAACAAAAUCAGGGAAGUAGACUGGCCCCGGCCAAACACUACCCAGGUAGGGGAUACCAUCACGUUUUAUGAAGAUAUCAGCUUCCAUUCCUCUUUUGUAGGUUCCAUAUGUCUUGUUGACGCUGAUACCUGUGGAGUUAGGAGCUAAGUUUUCUCUUCUAAUAAAAGUUCAAGUAAAACUCUAUGUGGCCAUAUAUAGAAUUAUAGAUUUACCAGGAUCCAAAAUGAGCACAUAUUUCUGACCAUUUUGGUGAAGUGUAUCAACCAAUUUCUUCAUCUUGUCCAAAGGAAAGUUGAUGGGAUCAAGAGUAAAAUCCUUAUAUGCAUCCAUAUAAUCAAUAUCUGUCCACAUAACUUCGAGGGGGAUACCAGCUUUGGCAUAACCAGCAACCACACCCCCAACAUCAGAAACGUUCAUGUACCCAUAUCUGCACUGGUGAAAUCCUGCAGCCAAGACAAGCAACCUAAAACAAAUCAUCCAUAUUUAAAACAUUUUCCCAUAUAGUUGUAGCACAUGACCCCUAGUCAGCUAAUGGGAAUGGCAAGUGUCUUCGCUGGCAGUGAUUUCACAUUUGACUAAAGCAUCUUAUGAGAAAAAGGAAUAAUGACGUGGUGGUGUGUGAGCUGAUGAUGAAUACGGCCAUCGGGAUUGGUGCCAAGCGGGUGGAGGAGGAUAUGAUGUGAGCCACAGGUGGACAUUCAGUAGAUAAAUCCAAGACUGAUACAAGUCAAAAAGAGUCCACACAAUUGACGCCGGCACCUAACAAUUACCCUUAUUUUACAUUAAAUUCUAUUGCCCCUUUCAUUAAGGACGUGUGAAGUGUUGUCCUUUGUUUUAAUUUCUAAAAUUUAAAAUAUAUUAUUAAUUUUUUAUUGUUGUAAUAAUUAAAAAUUUAAAGAAUAUAAUCAGAAUUAUUAUUUUUAAAUUUCAUCAAACACCAUUUCCUUGUAUAUUUUAAUUUAAAAGAAGGGAGGUAAUAAAGUAGAAAAAAUUGAAACGAUUUUCCAAAGCAAAUAUGAUAUUACUUACCAAAGGACCAGUAUGGCAUUGGUGCCGGCCGGCCGAUGAGCUCUGUAUACUGCUGCAUCACCAUCUCCGGCGUGGGUCCGGAGAAAAAGUAAAAAUCGAGAACUCCUCCAAUUGCUUUGUAGGUUAUUCGAUCACCAGUAUACACGAUGUCCAUGCCAUUACUGUUCAGCAGCAGAACACCGUGUGUCGUCCCCAUCGGAACUUUGCCGCGGUUGUCCGUCAGCCUGACGUCCAUGUAGAAGGGGUGAGACCCAUACAGAUUCACAUCGAGGUUGGCGCUGCCGAUGUCGGCGUUCCAAAGCGUCAACGUUUGGUUUUGGGCGAGCUUGAAAGUCUUCUUGGUGUGCUCUCCCAGGCCGUAAAGGGAGGAGCGGAGGAUGGGGAGGGCUGAGGAGACCUGGAGAUACUGGUCCUUGAAUACCAGGAAGGUGUCAGCGUCUGAAAUGUCCGAUGAGGCGUCGAAGAGGAUGUCGCCGGUGGAGCGACGGCUGACGAUAAAGCCGAAUGGGGUGGUUUUGCGGAGCGUGAAGACGAGGUCUGACUUGGGGUCGGAGACUAUGUUUUUUCCCGGCGAGUUGUGGUCGUCUUCCGGCGAGAUGGGGUGGUUUUGCGGGAGCACUCGGCGGUGGAGUUGGGUGUGACGGGGAAGGAUUUCUUGGGGGAUUUCCCAUCUUUGGUGCUCGGAAUCGGUGAUUCGAAUUCGGAGACGAUCAUUCGUUUCCAAACUGCAGAAAUUGAUAUUAAAAAAAGAAAAAAAAAAAGACAAAGACAAACAAACAAACCCAAUAAUAAUAAUAAUAAUAAUAAUAAAAAGACUUUUACCAAUUAACCCCCGCACCACCACCCAGGCCCAAAAAAUAAAAAUAAAAAAAAGCAAAAACCAUAUUUUAAAAUAUAUAUUAAAAAAGGAUUUAUGACCUGGCAACAAGAUUGAGAUUCCGAACGUCGGGGCCGAAAACGGGGGAAGUUUUGAUGAGGUCAAGAUGGGCGGUCAACGACUUGCCGGAUGGAUCAAAGCUGACCGAUCGGACUCUGUAACCAUAUCCCACUGGGUCUUCUUCAUUCUUUGCGUUUGAGAAACAGAGAACGGAGAAACUGCAGCAGAAGAGAAAUGCUAAAAGAAGGUGAUGAAGGUGAAGUGGAGGUUGUGGCCUCUUCUUCCCCAUUAUUCUGUAAAUUGGAAACCAAGACUCCUCUCUUUUAUCUUUACAUCAAAACCAAGGACCUUUCGCUUCCACACAAAGUGUUUUUACACCAAGAAAAAUUAUUAGUAUAUGUGUCUUGCCGUGCACUAGCUCAACAAAAAGUCAACCUCAACCCAUUUGUACCUUAUCCAAAUACCAAUGACGCUCUUAUGCAUACUAUAAUCAUGUUUACGGUAAGAAAAGAAAAGGGUUAUGCUAGGCUACCGAAACAUACUUUCUGGUACCAUACCCCCAAUUUUGCACCAAUAACAUCUUGCCACAUGUGGGUUGUUGAAUAAAAAAUAAAAAAACUUGCUAUACAAGUUACAAACCGGUCAACUCCUGUCCCAAUAAAAAAUAAUUCAAAGACAACACAAAAAUUUAAACUCUUUACGACAUCCAACUAUAAAAUCUGAGUAUUUAUUUUAUAAAAAUUUAAAAAUAUUAAAUAAUUUGUGAAAAUAUAAAUUUUUUAAAAGAAAAGAAAUUAUAAUUUAUUUUAUUUUUUAAUAUAAAGUGAUAAAUCAUAGAGUGAAGAAAAAUAAAUAAACUAAAUAUUGUAAAAAAAAUCAUUCAAUGACAUAAUUUAUAAAUUGAGAGUCAAUGAAUUUAUUUUAUUUUAAAUUGAAAUUAUUUGUGGAAAAAAAUUGGAUGAAUAUUGAAAAUGCAAAAAAAAAAAAAUAUAAUUGGUCAAUGAAGUUAAAAAAAUAAAUAAUUUCAAUGAAUUAUAAGUCUAAUUAGAUAUUUAUAAAAAAUAAAAAAUUGAAAUAAAUUUAAAUAAGUAUAUAUUGUUCAAACACUAAAUUAGUUAUGUACUUGACAAUUGCAUUAAUAAAAUAAUUAUUUUAAUUUAAAUUUAAUUGUGUAAAAUAUUGGUUGAAAUAUUGAAAAUACAAAAAAAAAUAAUAAUUAGUAACAAUAUAGAACUUCACAUCUCUCACUAAUUUUUUAGUCAUUUAGAAGAGAAUUGAGAAUCUUCUCAUUCUUCUUACCCUUUCUAAUUAUUAAAUAUUUUUAAAGUUUUAUUUUUCUGGGCAUCAUUUGAACACCUCUUAAGUAUAAUGAACACAUUUAAACAAAAUCAAAAUCAUAUGAAGUCUCAAAAAUUUUUUAAAGCAACAAAGAAGUGGAGAAUGGAGAGGGUACGAAGAAUGUGAAGAUUCCUCACAUUCUUCGUACCCUUCCUAAUUUUUAAAUAUUUUUGAAGUAUGAUUUUUUCGGGCAUCAUUUGAACACCCUUAAGUGUAAUUGACUCAUUUAAACAAUAUCCAAGCCAUAUGAAGUCCCAAAAUUAUUUUAAAAUUUCAAAAAAAUGGAGAAUGUGGAGGGUACGAAAAAUGUGAGGCCUUACUAAUUUUUAAGUAUUUUUAAAGUAUGAUUUUUCUGAGCAUCAUUUGAACACAUCUUAAGUAUAAUGAACUCAUUUAAACAAUAGUCAAGCCAUAUGAAAUCCCAAAAAAUUUUUAAAGCAUCAAAGAAGUGGAGAAUGAUGAGGGUAUAAAGAAUGUGAGGAUUCCUCACUUUUUUCGCACCCUUCCUAAUUUUUAAAUAUUUUUUAAUUAUGAUUUUUCCGGCCAUCAUUUAUACACCCCUUAAAUGUAAUGGACUCAUUUAAACAAUAUCCAAGUCAUAUAAAGUCUCAAAAUUAUUUUAAAAUUUGAAAGAAAUGGAGAAUAGGGAAGGUACAAAGGAUGUGAGGAUUCCUCACAUUUUUUGUACCUUUUCUAAUUUUUAAGUGUGAUUUUUCCAGGCAUCAUUUGAACACCCUUAAGUGUAAUGAACUCAUUUAAACAAUAUCAAAGUCAUAUGAAGUCCCAAAAUUUUUUUAAAGUAUCAAAGAAGUGGAGAAUGAGGAUGGUACGAAGAAUGUGAGGAUUCCUCACAUUUUUCGUACCCUUUCCAAUUUUUAAGUAUUUUUGAAGUAUGAUUUUUUCGAGCAUCAUUUGAACACCCCUUAAGUGUAAUGGACUCAUUUAAACAAUAUCCAAGUCAUAUGAAGUCCCAAAAUUAUUUUAAAAUUUCAAAGAAAUGGAGAAUGUGAGGGUAUGAAGAAUAUGAGGAUUCCUCAUAUUUUUUGUACCCUUCCUAAUUUUUAAGUAUUUUUGAAGUAUGAUUUUUUCGGACAUCAUUUGAACACCCUUUUAGUGUAAUGAAUUCAUUUAAACAAUAUCCAAGUUAUAUGAAGUCCCAAAAUUUUUUAAGUAUUUUUGAAGUAUGAUUUUUCCACACAUCAUUUGAACACCCUUUAAGUGUAAUGGACUCAUUUAAACAAUAUCCAAGUCAUAUGAAGUCCAAAAUUAUUUUAAAAUUUCAAAGAAAUGGAAAAUGGGGAGGGUACGAAGAAUACCAGGAUUCCUCACAUUUUUCGUACCCUUUCUAAUUUUGAAGUAUGAUUUUUCCACGCAUCAUUUGAACACCCCUUAAAUGUAAUGGACUCAUCUAAACAAUAUCUAAGUCAUACGAAGUCCUGAAAUUAUUUUAAAAUUUAAAAGAAAUGGAGAAUGGGAAAGGUACGAAGAAUGUGAGGAUUCCUCACAUUUUUCGUACCCUUUCUAAUUUUGAAGUAUUUUUUAAGUAUGAUUUUUCCGAGCAUCAUUUGAACAUCACUUAAGUGCAAUGGACUCAUUUAAACAAUAUCCAAGUCAUACGAAGUCCUGAAAUUAUUUUAAAAUUUAAAAGAAAUGGAGAAUGGGGAGGGUACGAAAAAUGUGAGGAUUACCCUUCCUAAUUUUUAAGUAUUUUUGAAGUAUGAUUUUUUCAGGCAUCAUUUGAACACCUCUUUAGUGUAAUGAACUCAUUUAAACAAUAUCCAAGUUAUAUGAAGUCCCAAAAAAAUUUUAAAGCAUGAAAGAAGUGGAGAACGAGGAGGGUAUGAUGAAUAUGAGGAUUCCUCACAUUUUUAGUACUCUUCCUAAUUUUGAAGUAUGAUUUUUCCGCGCAUCAUUUGAACACCCCUUAAGUGUAAUGGACUCAUUUAAACAAUAUCCAUGUCAUAUGAAGUCCCAAAAUUAUUUUACAAUUUCAAAGAAAUGGAAAAUGGGGAGGGUACAAAGAAUAUGAGGAUUCCUCACAUUUUUCGUACCCUUUCUAAUUUUGAAGUAUGAUUUUUCCGCACAUCAUUUGAACACCCCUUAAAUGUAAUGGACUUAUUUAAACAAUAUCCAAGUCAUACAAAGUCCUGAAAUUAUUUUAAAAUUUAAAAGAAAUGGAGAAUGGGAAAGGUACGAAGAAUGUGAGGAUUCCUCACAUUUUUCGUACUCUUUCUAAUUUUGAAGUAUUUUUUAAGUAUGAUUUUUUCGAGCAUCAUUUGAACACCCCUUAAGUGAAAUGGACUUAUUUAAACAAUAUCCAAGUCAUACGAAGUCCUGAAAUUAUUUUAAAAUUUAAAAGAAAUGGAGAAUGGGGAGGGUACAAAGAAUGUGAGGAUUCCUCACAUUUUUCGUACCCUUUCUAAUUUUUAAGUAUUUUUUAAGUAUGAUUUUUUCGGGCAUCAUUUGAACACCCCUUAAGUGUAAUGAACUCAUUUAAACAAUAUCAAAGUCAUAUGAAGUCCCAAAAAAAAUUUUAAAGCAACAAAGAAGUGAAGAAUGGGAAGGGUACGAAGAAUGUGAGGAUUCCUCACAUUCUUUGUACAUUUUCUAAUUUUUAAGUAUUUUUUAAGUUUGAUUUUUCCUGGCAUCAUUUGAACACCCCUUAAGUUUAAUGAACUCAUUUAAACAAUAUACAAACCAUAUGAAGUCCCAAAAUUAUUUUAAAAUUUCAAAGAAAUGGAGAAUGGGGAGGAGGGUAUGAAGAAUGUGAGGAUUCCUCACAUUUUUCGUACCCUUCCUAAUUUUUAAGCAUUUUUGAAGUAUGAUUUUUUCGAGCAUCAUUUGAACACUCCUCAAGUGUAAUGAACUCAUUUAAACAAUAUCCAAGUCAUAUAAAGUCCCAAAAAAAUUUUAAAGCAUCAAAGAAGUGGAGAAUGAGGAGGGUACGAAGAAUGUGAGAAUUCCUCACAUUUUUCGUACCCUUCCUAAUUUUUAAAUAUUUUUGAAGUAUGAUUUUUCCGGGCAUCAUUUGAACACCCUUAAAUGUAAUGGACUCAUUUAAACAAUAUUCAAGUCAUAUGAAGUCCCAAAAUUAUUUUAAAAUUUCAAAGAAUGUGAGGAUUCCUCACAUUUUUCGUAUUCUUCCUAAUUUUUAAGUAUUUUUGAAGUAUGAUUUUUUCCACUAAUUCGGACAUCAUUUGAACAACCCUUUAGUGUAAUGAACUUAUUUAAACAAUAUCCAAGCUAUAUGAAGUCCCAAAAAUUUUUUAAGCAUCAAAAAAGUGGAAAACGAGGAGGGUGUGAUGAAUGUGAGGAUUCCUCACAUUUUUCGUACCCUUCCUAAUUUUUAAGUAUUUUUUAAGUAUGAUUUUUUCAGACAUCAUUUGAACACCCCUUAAAUGUAAUAAAUUUAUUUAAACAAUAUUCAAACCAUAAGAAGUCCUAAAUUUUUUUUAAAGCAUCAAGGAAGUGGAGAUAGGGAGGGAAUGAGGGUAUGAAGAAUGUGAGGAUUCCUCGCAUUCUUCGUACAUUUUCUAAUUUUUAAGUAUUUUUUAAGUUUGAUUUUUCUAGGCAUCAUCCAAACACCCCUUAAGUGUAAUGAACCCAUUUAAACAAUAUUGAAGUCAUAUGAAGUCCCAAAAAAUGUGAGGAUGCCUCACAUUUUUCGUACCCUUCCUAAUUUUUAAGUAUUUUUGAAGUAUGAUUUUUUCGGACAUCAUUUGAACACCUCUUAAGUGUAAUGGACUCAUUUAAACAAUAUCCAAGCCAUACGAAGUCCCAAAAUUAUUUUAAAAUUAAAUAGAAAUAGAGAAUGGGGAUGGUACGAAGAAUGUGAGGAUUCCUCACAUUCUUCGUACCCUUUCUAAUUUUGAAGUAUUUUUGAAGUUAACAAAAGAAACUAAUUUUUCAUAUAUUAAAACAAUUAUAUAUAACAAAAUACCCCCUUCCCAUGGGUCAGAUUUACCUAAGUUUCAAGUGCACAUACAUAAUUUAGUUCUUAUCUUCUUUCAUAUACAACAUCAAAACCCUCUAAAAUAGUAGGACAAAAUAACAAACUUCUUAAAUUUCAAACCAAAAGAGAGAGCUUCAAGCUCUAGGAAGCCUACCCUCACUUUCUUCAAUUUGAGCACCUUUAUUAGAAUCUGAAAAUUGUUUAUAAAAAGUGAUGAGCUUUAUAGCCCAAUAGAGGAUAUGUAAUUCUAUGUAAGAAUUAGGCUUAUUUUUUAGUUAGAAAAUCAGUGAAUAGAAAUACCAACUCAACAAUGAUAUAUUCAACAUAAUAAAGUAUCAUUUAAACCAAGAACUUAAAUUAAUUGUUCAAUUUCAUCAACCUUACCGUGUACUUCUUUGAUCAUUUGAGUCUUUUUUAUUACUUAAAACUUAUAAUUUUGGGGCAUUCACCUAAGGACAUGCAUUUAUGCCCCAAUUUAAUCUAAACCAAGUUCUUCUUAUAGUAUGUUUUGGGUCUUUCAAUUUAGGUAAUUUACCAUUCGUUCCAAGGCUUUUACCAGGGACCAUUGCUCCUACUUAAUUCCAUAAGACCACACUCAUUGGUGUAUUUUCAUAAUUUUCAGCUCCUUAAGUGCCAAUUGCCAUGUUGCUCUUGAUGCACUUCAAAAUUCAUAUAUUCAAUCAAAGAAAGCAUUACAUCUUUAAUCAUCCUUAUCAAGCCAAGAGCAACAACUUCUAAUUAACACAAAAUGCAUUGUUCAUCAUUUCUCGAUUCAUAUAAUCUUCAUAGCUCAACAUACAGAUACAUACAUACAUAUAUAUAUAUAUAUAUAUAUAUAUAUAUAUAUAUAUUUGGAAAGAUUUAGAAUGAAAGAAAAAAACUGUUGUUCAAGAAAAGAAUAAAACAAAGAUUACUUGGAUUUUCUAGCCUAUUCCCUUUAGAGCCUUGGUAGAUCUCUCAAAGGCUAGGGACCCUUCAAUCGGUAUUCAUAGUACUGAAACCAUUCUCUUUCAUCAAGUGAAUGAAUACAAAAAGAUUUGUAGCUCUUGUAAUCCCUCUAUUAAUACUUUUAGGCGGUGUUUGGUACACGGGAAUAGGAAAUGGAAAUGAAUAUUUUGUUUCCAUUCCUAUUUUUUGAUGAAUGGAAAUGAAUUUGUUCAUUCCAUUUCUAGUGUUUGGAUGAAUCUAUAAAUUCAAAAUUUGAAUGAUUAUUUGUUUCCAUUAUAAUGUUUUGUAAUAAUAGGAACGAAAAUGAAAAAAAAAAAAUGAUAAUAAUACUUUUACAUAGUUUAAAAUAAUUUUUUUCUCAUUUAAAAAAAAAAUUGAGAGUUUUUUUUCACUAAAUAAUAAGAUUAAAAAAAAUAGUCUUAUUAUGGGAUGAAGAGACACUGAAAGUUGAUAAAUGAAAUCCAAAGGUAAAAUAGUAAUUUAAGACUAUUUUAUAUUUUCUUAUUGGAUGAAUGAAUCAGAAUAUCACUUAUCUGAGAUGAAUUGAAAUCCUACUUAUAAGUGAGAUUGAUUUAUGCCGGAAUCAUGUUUUAUUUUAUUCCUACCUUCAUAAAAUCUAUCCAAACAUGAGAAUGGGGAGGCAAGGAAUGAGAUGUCUAUUCUCACUUCUCAUUCACACUUAUCAAACACCCCUUUAGUUCAAUGAGCAGUUACUAUUAAUACUUUUAGCUCUUGUAGCUCUUCUUGUUUUACUCUCUUUCAUUCAUUGUGUAUAUAUGCACUCAAAUAUAUAAGAAGGUUCUAUCUCCCUGCAUAACUUUCAGAUAUAAGUUCAGGUGUUGCUGUUUUUAAAAACUUACAAGGAAUAUAGCAAACAAUGAACAACUUAUGAAGGGAAUUUCAGAUCUAUUGUUGUAAUCUCAAAAUCGUUAUUUAUUGAUAUCAUUUUGCAGACAAUAGCUUACUGAUAAUAAUUGUUCUUAGCAGAACUCUUUCCUUAUUAAGUGAGGUUUAGCUUUAAUUCAAACUCCUUUCCGAUUGGGAGACAGUUUUUUAAUCUCCAUGACAACAAAUUUUCUGUUGCCAUCCAAAUCUACUUUCAACGAAGAGUCUCCAAUUGUUUUUGUUCCCUCAUUUGUGUAUACCUCGAAUCCUUUAAACCUCUUGCCCUGGGCCUUGGUCAACCCGAUCAAAGUCACCCUAUCUAUGAUCCAUUUCUGACUUAGAGCAAAGCCUCUAUUCAUCACCUCUGAUCCAACAAUCGCCUUCUUAUCUUCCACCCAGGCAUAGAACUUCACCAGGCUCCAGUUUUUUCCUCCCCCGCCCAUCUCAACUUCUUCGCCAUCAUCCAAGAAAACUUCACCAGUGCUGAUUCCACUGCUGCUCAAAACCACCAAGAGCUGGAAUGGAGUCUUCCGAGCCGCUUUUGUAGUCAUGGCUUCUCCCUGCAUUACCAAUAUAUUCCCUUCUCUAACAUGAACAUUUAUAUGAUCUGGUGGUGCAUCGAGAGUGGUAUACUUCCCUGAACCUGCACUCACUGCAUUGGAGUAAUUGAAGAGGUCGAACCAGUUUCCUGAUGGGAAGUAUGCUUUGACUGAAACUUCUCCAGGCUUCAGCACUGGUGACACCAUUACACCUUUACCGAUCAAAAACUGAAAGUUGAUUCCAUAAGUUUCGGGGUCCUGAGGGAAUGAAAAGAAAAGGGGUCGGGCAAUGGGGACUCCUUUUGUGUGGGCUUCGUACAUUAACGUGUAAAAGUAGGGAAGCAGGCGGUAGCGGAGCCCCAGCACCUUCUUGGCUGUUGCAGCAACUGAGUCCCACACGUAAAGCUCCUGGCGAAUUGUGAACUUUGCUGAGUGGUCCCUUGCAAAGGGGUAGAACGCCCCUAACUGCAAUGUCACAAAAUCCAAUUAUUAGUUGCAUACACGAAAGAAAAGAUGGAAUGCACGCCAAGCCAGAGGAAUUUGAGCACUCCUAGAAAAUGGAAUUGUUCAAGCUUGUUUUCCACAAAUUCAACCUUGGGAUAGAUGCUAUGUCCAAAAUGUUGAAUGAUUUAUCUACCAUUUGAUGAAUGAAAGCUACCUAAAGUUUACCUGGAUCCAUCGCCUGCAGAGCUCUUCAUUUGUGUCGCCGGAAAAACCACAUAUGUCCGCUCCAACCAUUGGAAUUCCGAAUAGCCCAAAAUUUAAAACUGCUGGGAUGGAGUAAGCCAAAUCAUCCCAUGUGGCAGCAUUGUCUCCAGUCCAAUGGGCAGCAUACUUUCCAGAGCCCACAAAAGUUGAUCUGGUCAGUAUAAAUGGUCUUUUACCCGUCAAUUUGGUUAAGGCCGCAUUGGUGGCUUUGGAUUCUAAGAUUCCAUAAAGGUUGUGAGCGUUGUACUCUGUAAUGUUACCAAAGUGUAGAGAUGUGGCUGGAACAGUUCUAUUAUUAAUGGGCCUACGAACACCUGCAUUGUUAAUCUUGUAGGGAGGGUCGUCAAGGGUGGACAAUGGGGUGGGUGGUGAGGUAAUGAAAUUAGAUAUCUCAUUCAUGUCAAGCCAAAGGCCGUCAAUGGGAAGACUAUCUCGAAAUAUUUUGAUCUCACCACCCCAAAAGAUCUCAGUGGCUGGAUUAACAAAAUCAGGGAAGUAGACUGGCCCCGGCCAAACACUACCCAGGUAGGGGAUACCAUCACGUUUUAUGAAGAUAUCAG
rnacentral:lncRNA from 1 species